GAGCUACACUGCUGAGCAAGAGCCUGAAGCACACCCAAAAAUUUGGUGAAAACGUUAAAAAGAAUAGGUGAAUAUACAAAAUUUUAUGUUAUUAGAAUUUCUGCCACUACUAUUAAAGAUGUGUAUUGUUAGUUUCUCGCAUAAAGAAUCCAAGAUUUCGCAGAUACAUCAUUAUUCAUUGAAUAGUACCGCUCUCUCCAUUUCUCUCUUUUUCUGGAGCUUUCUGAUAUUGAUAUAUUUACUCAUACUAGUGUGUGAUUAAUGUCGGAUACUCAAUUUAUUCAGUGUUCUCAAAGCAUAGAUUCUAGGCAAAUUAACUAAACAUAGAGAAAUAUGACUCUUACAAUCAGGUCAUCUGGAGAUGCAG
rnacentral:misc_RNA from 1 species